GAUUUCAACUGAAAAAGUUAUCAACAACAAAGUUGAAUAACUCAUCAAGAUCUAAAACUUUUAUUUUGAUCAUUUCUUCAUCCGACAAAGUGAUAGUAACAUUGUUCACAAAAUUGACAUAUCUCUUAUUUGUUUUUAUAAACUAUAACACAUAUAUGUAAAAUUUGUGAACAAUGUUACUAACACUUUAUCGGAUAAAGAAAUGACAAAAAUAAAGUUUUAGAUCUUGAUGAGUUAUACAAUUUUGUUGUUGAUGACUUUUUCAGUUGAAAGC
rnacentral:pre_miRNA from 1 species